rnacentral:rRNA from 1 species
ACUCAAAUGAAUAGACGGGGGCCCGCACAAGCGGCGGAGCGUGUGGUUUAAUUCGAUGCAACGCGAAGAACCUUACCAGGGCUUGACAUACUGGUGGUACGGAUCUGAAAGGUGAAGGACCCUUCGGGGAGCCAGUACAGGUGCUGCAUGGCUGUCGUCAGCUCGUGCCGUGAGGUGUUGGGUUAAGUCCCGCAACGAGCGCAACCCUCGCCGUCAGUUAGAUCUCUCUGACGGGACCGCUGGGAUAAACUCAGAGGAAGGUGGGGUCGAAGUCAAGUCAGCAUGGCCCUUACGCCCUGGGCUACACACACGCUACAAUGGCCGGUACAACGGGUCGCGAGAGCGCGAGCUUUAGCUAAUCCCCCAAAGCCGGCCCCAGUUCAGAUUGCAGGCUGCAACUCGCCUGCAUGAAGGCGGAGUCGCUAGUAACCGCAGGUCAGCAAUACUGCGGUGAAUACGUUCCCGGGCCUUGUACACACCGCCCGU